UUACUACGUGCAUCAUCAUCAGCUCGGGACGUUCUCAGGAAGGUCCAAAAAGGCACUGCUGCCAAAACGGACGAUCCGAAGAGGGCCCUUUUCCGUUUAUCUCUCUCUCCAGGCCUCUUUCUGGUUUAUACCAUAAUCUUUAUCUUCUUCAGUAAAAUUAGUGAGACAAAGCUUGCUCUCUAAUAUUCACCGGUGUCUUCAUAAUUUCUGCAACUAUUUAUCCAUAAUAAUCGUUUCUUUCUGCGCUCUUAAACUACUGGAACAAGACGAUCUUCGAGAUCGGUUUGAUCUUGUGUUAAUGGGAUUUUGUCAUACAAAGCCAGAGGAUUUUUAAGAAACCAAAAAGAUCAGCUCUUUUCCGUUUGGUAGUUAUUAUGGCGGUGGCUGAGAAUGCCGGAGCCAUAAUCGGCUCAUCCAGUCAGAAUUUAGAUAACAGUGUAGUAUCAUCGGACUCAACUGUGACAAAUGAGCUGCAGAAACCGAAACCCAGGACUGGGGCUAUUGUAAAUGGUUUAGAAACAGAUGUUCAACCUGUUAACGGCGAUCAGAACCUGAAUGAUGUGUUCGGCCAUCAGGAUAGAGCUCCGUCGGGCCCUAACGGCAACUACAGGUCUCAAAUCACUCAGAUGCGAAAUGGGUUCGAGGCAAAUGGGGUUCAGAACCAGCAGAUGGUGCUAAAUAAUAGCGGAUACGGAAUACAGCAAAUGUCUAACGGCGUAAGGAACGGUGAAGAUGGUGGUGAGAGUUUCAAGCGUGAUAUGAGGGAUUUGGAAGAGUUGUUGUCGAAGUUGAAUCCCAUGGCCGAGGAAUUCGUACCACCAUCGCUCACCAAUAAUCACGGAUUCUUAGGUGGAGCUGGGUUUAGCUACCCUAACAACUUUCUAGCCCUCACUAACUAUGGCAAUGCUAAUGGACAUGCUAACAGAAGGAGGAAGAAUGGAUAUAAUCAAGGGAAGCGAAGAGCUAAUAAUAAAAUGGAUGUGGAGAAGAGAGAAGAGAUGAUUAAGAAGACUGUUUACGUGUCUGACAUUGAUCAACAGGUCACUGAAGAGCAGCUGGCAGCUCUCUUUCUUAACUGUGGACAGGUUGUUGAUUGCCGAGUAUGCGGAGAUCCUAAUUCUGUACUUCGUUUUGCCUUCAUUGAGUUUACAGAUGAAGAAGGUGCGAGGGCUGCUCUUAACCUGUCUGGCACUAUGCUUGGAUAUUACCCAGUGAGAGUGCUGCCUUCAAAAACUGCCAUCGCACCAGUUAACCCCUCAUUUUUGCCCCGGUCUGAAGAUGAAAGGGAGAUGUGCUCAAGAACAAUUUAUUGCACAAAUAUUGACAAGAAGGUUACCCAGGCAGAUGUUAAACUCUUCUUUGAAUGUCUUUGUGGAGAGGUUCAGCGCUUGAGGCUUCUUGGAGAUUACCAUCACUCAACUCGAAUUGCAUUUGUUGAGUUCACCAUGGUAACUGCCCACUUUUUUGGACCAUUUCACCUGAAUCAGCUUGGUGUACUAUGAUAUGUAUACCCGUCUACCACAUUGUUAUUUUGAUGCUACCACAGGCUUUCAAUUUCUUACUGUGGUUGCUCGUAUGAUUGAUGUCAUUUCCAUCCUCCCCGUGGCAGGCAACAAUACUUACCUUUUUAAAGAAGAAGAAUCAACAAGAAAAACAGAUAAAACGUGAUAGUGUAUUAUUUGGAUUAUAGGGCCUUGUUAUAGUUUUGUAAUUAUGACAAUAAUUCUGUUAGUCAGUUGCGUUUUAGAUUUAAAUAUUUGGAUCUAGCCGUUGGGGGAGUGUGAGUGUAGUAAUAUAUAAAUACCCAGACUUGUAAUCUUCUUUUUAAUGAUCAGAACAGUAUUAUUCAGAAUCUGUGUUCAUCAAUUCCUCUGUUUUCUCUCUAAUUCCCUCAGUUCCUCUCUGCCUCUGAUUUCUCCUGUCUCUUUUCUCAACUUCUCUAGUCUUCCUGUUCUUCUCUCCAACCUUUCCAAUCCCUCUCUGUUUUAUGUAUCAUACAGAAUUAUUCAAGCACAUCAGACCUCUUCUGCCAUGGCUCUAUAUAUGCAUACGUAGUUCAGUAGUAUCACAAAUGUUGAUACUUUAUUUUUGACAACCGUUGUAGAUGUUUGAUAAUUUUUGCAUAAGGGGUGUCAUAGCCCAAUGUAGUCAUGUUUAAUUGGUUCUAAAUUAUACUUAUUGUGAAGCUUUAUGGACAGGGAAUAUUGUUUGUUAGUCGCAGUGGAACUAAUAUGUAAACAUAUGGUGGUAACAAUUAUCUCUAUUUUCAAUUAGUUUCUCAUCUGGUUUAUUGUAUGGUAACGUGGAUCUAAUUUUAGCUGGCCUCUCCUUUGAAAAUAAUCAAGUCCACGAGUUAUAGAAGACAUAACUAGUGCAGUAAGGUUGCCUGUAACUAGGGCAACUUAAGGGAGGAAGGAAAGGAUGAAUGUCACAUUAAUAUUCUGCGGUUGCCAGGAAAAUCUUAUCCUUUUGCAAUAUUUUGAGGUUGAAGUUUACUUUGGGUCAUGGAAGGAAAUAGUGGUUCUUAGGUUCCAUUGGUGAGGAACAUUUUGGUGUAAAGGAAUCGGAUGGUGAUGAUUCUUGGUUCAGCUGCAUAGGCUGAAAGUGCAAUUGCAGCUCUGAACUGUAGUGGUGUGAUUUUGGGUUCGCUGCCUAUCAGGGUAAGUCCGUCAAAGACACCUGUCCGGUCUCGUGCACCACGUGGGCCGAUGCACUGAGUCUUGCUUCCAUGUUUCUUGCGUUGGUUGCAUUUUGGAGAUAUGUUUACUUACAUACAUAGAUAGAAACAGAUAUUGUCUAAGGUAUCUGUGGCCGUUAGUCUAUACUUUUGUCCUUGAGUCUUGGUGUAUGGUCUCCGUUUCCCCCAAGGGUUAUGGAUUUCUUGUUUAGCUUGUAGAGUUGAAUCUGGGAUGGCACUUCGAGGAUCUUUGAUGGCUUAACUUAUGAUGCUAAAUUUGAUGGAUUCGUCUUGUGACGAGAGGAUUCCAUGGUUGGAUUUCUCUUAAUAUCUGGAAUUUCCUAGGAGAGAACAUGUUAGAAAGUCUUCAUUGUUUCUCAUGUUAUUAGCUGUUCUGGAAUCUUUGAACCCUGAAAUCUCACUAAUACCAUUGCAAGACAAACUGCUUGAUGA